GGGUUUUUAGCUCAGCUGGUGGUAGCGCAUGACUGUUAAUCAUGAGGUCCCGGGUUCGAUCCCCGGAAAACCCG
rnacentral:tRNA from 1 species